AUGUCCCGGGCUGAAGUUCGCACGACUUUCCUAGAGGAUCUUGCAGAGGAUUACCAUGGGGACACUUAUCACUUGAUUGCCAGGAACUGUUACCAUUUCACAGCUGACGUCUGCAAGCACUUCACGGGAAAGCCAACUCCUGGAUGGGUGAAUCGACUUGCCAGAUUAGCACUAUGUUCCAUCCGCAACUCUGUGCUGACUGAAAACAUCAAGGUUUCAGCGGUUAGAGGUGAAAUUGCACACCUUGAAUUCUCUGUCACUAAGAAACAAGUUACUAACCCAUCUAGUCUUGCCGAUAAUAGCCGAGAACCACAACCACCAGCAUGCAGCUCAGGCAAUGGGCGGAGAACGGAUGGUUGCCCACUUCACUUUCCUUUUUUUUAUCCAUGGUUAUGUAGCUCUUAA
rnacentral:rRNA from 1 species